UGUAAGGGCCCCGUAAAAGGGUCCCCUACGUCUUCCAUAGACGCAUGUUUAAUAGAAUGUAAACUCGUAUCCUCGCCUUAAAAAAGCGUCGAUAAAACUUAUACAACUUUCAACAACGGAUCUCUUGGCUCUCGCAUCGAUGAAGAACGCAGCGAAAUGCGAUAAGUAAUGUGAAUUGCAGAUUUUCAGUGAAUCAUCGAAUCUUUGAACGCACCUUGCGCUCCUUGGUAUUCCGAGGAGCAUGCCUGUUUGAGUGUCAUUAAACCUUCAACNCCGAUUUGAAUUUUUUUCUACUCGGGAGUUUGGACUUGGAGCGUGCUGGCGCGAGUCNGCUCCUCUGAAAUGCAUCANCGGAAACCAAAUCCUUGGCUUUCUGGAUGUCAGCGUGAUAAUCAUGUUGC
rnacentral:rRNA from 1 species